rnacentral:misc_RNA from 1 species
AUGCGAUAAGUAGUGUGAAUUGCAGAAUUCAGUGAAUCAUCGAAUCUUUGAACGCACAUUGCGCCUCCUGGUAUUCCGGGAGGCAUGCCUGUUCGAGCGUCAUCAAAAACCUCAGUCUCUGAUUCAUCAUUGAUUGGUCCUGCUUCGGAUGCCUCUGUGUAUCCCCUGCAAAAUUCAAGGGCGAAGAGCCACGCAGCCAAAGCGUAGUAUUAGUAUCUCGCGAUGGAAGUGUGAGUUCUUCUGCCGAAAACCCCCCAUGUCUUAGUUUUUGACCUCGGAUCAGGUAGGGAUACCCGCUGAACUUAA